rnacentral:rRNA from 1 species
UACGAGGGGGGCAAGCGUUGUUCGGAAUCACUGGGCGUAAAGGGCGCGUAGGCGGCCGAUCAAGUCGGGGGUGAAAUCCUGGAGCUCAACUCCAGAACUGCCUUCGAUACUGGAAAGCUCGAGUCCGGGAGAGGUGAGUGGAACUGCGAGUGUAGAGGUGAAAUUCGUAGAUAUUCGCAAGAACACCAGUGGCGAAGGCGGCUCACUGGCCCGGUACUGACGCUGAGGUGCGAAAGCGUGGGGAGCGAACGAGG